rnacentral:lncRNA from 1 species
GGCUUGUCAACGACGGGUCUUUUUCUCCCUAACCUUGGGUCACGUGUAGGUUGUCGUGCCUGUGACCCCCGGCUUGUGUGCAUGAGAGGUGUCGUGCACAUGUCACACGUGUCCUGUGUGUAUGUUGGGCAUGCGAGUUGCUCUUACCGCAUGCUUGGGUGCUAUUUCACGUGUGUGAGUCUCUUGACUGUGUAGGUGGGCUUCCAUGCUUAUUACUCACAUGUUGCAAGUGUCUUCCACAGUUGCGUUAGACUUUAGGCCUUUCUUUAUGGUUCAUCAGCGACCAUGUUGCUUACCCAGUCCUGUAUUAUCAUAUUGAAAAUCCUUGAAGCUUGCGAACCUAGCUUCAGGUGAUUGGUCCCACGGGCAACUGGGCUUUUCCCCGUUGGCCCUAAUUCCUCAUGGGCUUUAGUGUCCUGUGCGUCUUCCU